ensembl:lncRNA
CCAGUAAAUUGUGCUGACUGACAUUUAAGCUUUACAUGUGCUAUGUAGGGGGGCGGGCGAGGGGGGGGGGGGGUUAUUGACCGGGGACUGUCAUUGGCUGGUGUCUGAGUCACUCGCUCAUUACAGGAGGUGCGUAAUUACGCACUGCGCUCUCUCAAAACUUUGGCACGCCUCCACUGUAUAAUCCGAAGUGUCAGCACUGUGGUUUAUAUCAACACGCCGCUAUGGGUCAAGGCACAAUACGAGGAAAUCCCCACGGCCGAGAAAACUACGAUAGGCCCCUUUAAAUCGACGCUUCCUCGGUGUUGUGCCAAGAGAGAGAGAGAGAGAGAGAGAGAGAGAGAGAAAGAGAGAGAGAGAAAGAGAGAGAGAGCUCAGAUAAACAACAACACGGUUCUCAGGAGGCGCUUUUACCGGAUUCAGCUCUUCACUGCGGCCUCAGUAAAGGAAGAGGAGGACCGAGCCGCUGUUGUUCGCAGCGUUUUGUCGUCUUGUUUUCCAUACAUUCAUUGUUGAAUACCAUUGCGGAAGUGAGUAGCUGGUGGACACACGACACAAAGCUUGCUCUGUGCUGACAUCUAGCGGCGAGCGGAGAAAAGACGCCUCUCAGCCAUGUACGGAGCUUCAGGUAUCCCAGAGCUCAUCCCGCCCAGCGGGCCGCCCCGUCAGCCCGGCCCGGCCGGACAGUUCAACCCGGGACACCCGCAGGUCAACGGCCACGGCGGAGGACCCAACCCUCAGAGACUCGGACAGAGGGCGCCCAAGCUGGGACAGAUCGGCAGGUCCAAGAAAGUGGACCUGGAGGACGAAGACUUGGACGACAUCAUGAACAACAACGGGCAGUGCCCUGUAUCACUCGCUCCCAUCUCCUAAAACUUCACCAAGAUGUGCCAAAAUAAUUUUUAAAAAAGCGCCAAACCCUCCCUGUCUUCAUCAGUGAUCUUGGCCUCGGUCCGUUCAAGUGUCCUACUGAAGCUUCCGACGGCUCGUCGAGGCUCACGCUGAAGCCUGUAGGCCCAGAUUGUACAUAGUGUUUAUUUAACUUCUGGUCAGACUGUGAAUGAAUGAUACUGCAUCGCUCUCUACUCUAUACCUCGGUAGGUAGGUAGAAUGUCAGGACUGGAGGUUUUGGAGGAAUAUUUUCGAGCUUCUUAUAAUAAGGGCUACAUUUCUUAAAGUUGCACUGAGCAGACAGUUAGAUGACGAUUGGCCUCUCCUUUGCUCUCUCUCUCCCUCUCUCCCCCGGCCUCUGAGGGUCACUGAUCGUCUGCAUGAGGGGAAGCCUGUUAAUGUGUAUCACACGGGUGAAGCUUCAGUUGUGCAAUCACUCUCACACUGAUUCAAGCUGUGUACUGAUAUCCAGCAAUGAAAGCUCGCUAUCUACAGGAAGAAAAUGACUACUGCUAAUUAUUUAUUGAGAAACGUUGUCGUGUUGAUCUUGCUUCUUCAUGUUUUUUACUCAUUUCUGAACGGAUAUUGCUUCAACUGAGAUUUUCUUAUGUUUCCAAAUAACUGGUGCACUUUGUUGGGAAUGCCCGUUAUGUGCAGUGACAUGUUGCAGAAUUCUAUGCAUGAAAUCUGUUAAAGCAUCAAAACACGUAACUGGUAACCUGUUAUUUAAGGGCUAUGUAGUAGUUUUUUUUCUUCUUUUUCUUUUUUUAAAGCACCACACCGUUUGCUGUGUCGGUCAUGGUUGGAGCUGAUGUUUUUCCCUGAGCUCAGUGUUGGCUGGAGCUGCUGACUCACACAGAUUUUAUUGUUAAUUAUCACAGGUUGGCUGCAUGACUGUGGGGAAAUGUGCAGAUCCAAUAGAUAUGCCAAAUGAUGCUACAUGAGAUUGAUAAUUAAAUUAGAUUCUGAUCGGCACACUGGUCUGUAAUGAUGUUCUUAUAUUUAUUUCUAAAGCACUAAUGUCUGACUACACCCAAAAAUGACAUCAUCUUAAGGUUCACUUUGCAGACUUUGUAAUCACAGACUGAGAUGAUGAAAACGGAUUAGCUGAGACAAUCUUACACUGUUUUUAGUGGCUAUAAUCGUCUAUAAGGCUCGUGCUGAUGUCAUGUUACUUUGUUGGCUGUAACGGUGUCUGUUUUUUUUGUUUUGUUUUUGUUUUUUUGUUUCACAGACGCACAGCAGCUCAUUCUCUGACUCAGAUUGAUGUUUGGGUUGUGGUGACCUUUUGCAUGGAAUUGAUCGAGUUUUCAUAAUGCAUAUCAAGAAAUAAAAUAUCAAUCUUUGUGGACUUUCUGUGGUUC